GCGCUCUUAGUUCAGUUCGGUAGAACGCGGGUCUCCAAAACCCGAUGUCGUAGGUUCAAUCUCCUACGAGCGUG
rnacentral:tRNA from 1 species